CGGAGGGAUCAUUAAAGAGUUCUAUAACUCCCAAACCCAUGUGAACAUACCUAACGUUGCCUCGGCAGGUCGCACCUACCUUGUAGCACCCUACCCUGUAGGGCCUACCCGGGAGGUGCGGGUAAGCCUGCCGGCGGCCCACCAAACUCUGUUUGAUAUUGAAUUCUGAACCUAUAACUAAAUAAGUUAAAACUUUCAACAACGGAUCUCUUGGUUCUGGCAUCGAUGAAGAACGCAGCGAAAUGCGAUAAGUAAUGUGAAUUGCAGAAUUCAGUGAAUCAUCGAAUCUUUGAACGCAUAUUGCGCCCAUUAGUAUUCUAGUGGGCAGGACCGUUCGAGCGUCAUUUCAACCCUUAAGCCUUCGUUGCUUAGUGUUGGGAGCCUACGGUAACGUAGCUCCUCAAAGUUAGUGGCGGAGUUGGUUCACACUCUAGACGUAGUAAUUUUUUAUCUCGCCUAUUAGUUGGACUAAUCCCCUGCCGUAAAACCCCCAAUUUAUCAAGGUUGACCUCGAAUCGGUUCAGACAAACUCGCUAAAUUGAAGCAUCUUAGUCAGCGAAGGAAAAGAAACCAACAGGGAUUGCCCUAGUAACGGCGAGUGAAGCGGCAACAGCUAU
rnacentral:rRNA from 1 species